CUACUUGUCAUAAAUUGAUGCUAAUCUUCCCAUAGUACAGAGGAAGACAAGUAAAUUUUAUAUUACUAUUUGAAGAACAGAGUUUCUAAUCAUUUUCCUGCUGCAUGGAAACAUUUGCUACUGUUGGACAUAUUACCUCUAAUAGCAGACCCUAUUCUACUGCCUCAGCUCCACUGGAGUCUCACUGAGCCUACUCUGGCUUUGGAGGUGCCAAGUCACCAAGAGAGAUUCUCAGAGGCCCAUUGCAUCUAUUUCUCUCUUGCAUCAACUGGGCAUCAUGAUUAUCAAGUCUGCCGUGAUGUCUAUCUACAUUUGGGCAAGAAUACAAAUGAAGGUUCACCUGAAAGUUAUGAAGGAGGCUAAGAAAUUGUUACAUAAUACGUAAUAUAAUUUUCUACCAUGUAAAAUAUAACUCUAUAAAAACAGA